GAUGAACGCUAGCGACAGGCUUAACACAUGCAAGUCGAGGGGCAGCAAGAAUUGUAGCAAUACAAUUUGUUGGCGACCGGCGCACGGGUGAGUAACGCGUAUGCAACCUACCUAUCAGAGGGGGAUAGCCCGGUGAAAGCCGGAUUAAUACCGCAUAAAACAGGGGUCCCGCAUGGGAAUAUUUGUUAAAGAUUAAUUGCUGAUAGAUGGGCAUGCGUCCCAUUAGAUAGUUGGUGAGGUAACGGCGCACCAAGUCAAUGAUGGGUAGGGGUUCUGAGAGGAAGGUCCCCCACACUGGAACUGAGACACGGUCCAGACUCCUACGGGAGGCAGCAGUGAGGAAUAUUGGUCAAUGGUCGGAAGACUGAACCAGCCAAGUCGCGUGAGGGAAGACAGCCCUAUGGGUUUUAAACCUCUUUUGUAAUGGAAGAAUAAGUCUUACGUGUAGGACGAUGCCAGUACAUUACGAAUAAGCAUCGGCUAACUCCGUGCCAGCAGCCGCAGUAACAC
rnacentral:rRNA from 1 species